rnacentral:tRNA from 1 species
GGGGAUUUAGCUCAGUGACAUAAGCGCCUGCCUUGCAAGCAGGUGGUUGUGAGUUCAAUCCUUGUACCA